rnacentral:rRNA from 1 species
UGGGGAAUAUUGGGCAAUGGGGGCAACCCUGACCCAGCGACGCCGUGUGAGGGAAGAAGGCCUUCGGGUCGUAAACCUCUGUCGAGAGGGAAGAACUGCGUGAAGUCGAAUAGGCUUUGCGUCUGACGGUACCUCCAAAGGAAGCACCGGCUAACUCCGUGCCAGCAGCCGCGGUAAUACGGAGGGUGCAAGCGUUAAUCGGAAUCACUGGGCGUAAAGCGCAUGUAGGCUGUCUUGUAAGUCGGGCGUGAAAUCCCACGGCUCAACCGUGGAACUGCGUUCGAUACUGCCAGACUUGAGUGCAGGAGAGGGUGGCGGAAUUCCCGGUGUAGGAGUGAAAUCCGUAGAUAUCGGGAGGAACACCAGUGGCGAAGGCGGCCACCUGGACUGUAACUGACGCUGAGAUGCGAAAGUGCGGGUAGCAAACA